rnacentral:rRNA from 1 species
UACGUAGGAGACGAGCGUUGUCCGGAGUUACUGGGCGUAAAGGGUGCGCAGGUGGCGGCGCGCGUGGGGGGUGAAAUCGCCCGGCUUAACUGGGCGGGGGCCUUCCAGACGGCGUGGCUUGAGCAGCGGAGGGGGACGUGGAAUUCCGGGUGGAGCGGUGAAAUGCGUAGAGAUCCGGAGGAACACCGACGGCGCAGGCAGCUCGCUGGGACGUUACUGACGCUGAGACGCGAAAGCGUGGGGAGCAAACAGG